AACCAAGCUAUCAAAAAGGAAAGUACUCAAAAUGAACCUAAGAUUAGCUCUAGAAAGGAUUAAGAAAUCAAGAAAACAUUUACAAGUUGCUUAAGAUCAAUUCAAGAUCAAAUGGCAAUUAGGCAAAACUGUUUGUUAAAAUGCCCGAUUUAUUUCUACUGAAACUGGUACGUUAACUAAACCAGAACUGGCACGGUUUUGAUUCAGCUUUUUANUUCUGCUUAUGACUUUUCUUUUUACUGUUGAGCANAUCUUAUAUUGCAAUUAAACCAAGCUUUUGCUGCCAAUUCUCAUUCAAUUAAAGAUACACAGAAUUAGUAAUCACAUAUGCCUUAACAAAGGAAAACAACUUGUAUCAGAAAGAAUUUUUAAGUGCUGAAAUUAUGGAUUGAAAGGGAAAUCUGCACCAGAUUGGUAAACACUCAAAUUUCACAACACGAGCAAGUCCAAAUGAGUGAUAUNAACUUGUAUGUGCUGCCAAUUGAUACCAAAUAUCAGUAUUUCAAAAAUUCAAUGAUUGAGUUCUCUUUUUUAACACCAAUGUAAGCAACUAAUUUCCAGCACACUGAAUCAAAUGGAAUCUAAGCACUGAAUUAGACUCCAAAACAACAAACAAAAAUUGAACAAAACACUAUGGAAUUAAUGUUAGAUAUCCAGCAAUGAUCUAAAUGCCAGAUCAGAUUUAAAACACAAAUCAGAUGACUCAAACUAUGAUAGUGCAGAUCGGCCAACUGCU
rnacentral:lncRNA from 1 species